rnacentral:lncRNA from 1 species
GUUUUCGAUCCCAAAUGUCCGCCAUUUAACUAUAACAAUUUUUGUCGGUUUUAUUAGCUUUCUUUAUAUCACCUUUACUAAUGAAUGAGACCAUUGAGUCGUGUGAUGGGUAGUAUUCCUAUCGCUGCGUCCGAUAUAUUCCAUUCUUCGUUUACACUUCGCUAUUUCUAUUAAUUGUAAAUCAAAGCAAGCCCCAAUAUAAAAAGGAAAGGCUGUUAGUGACCUGGUGGCAGUUUCUGUUUACUAAUACUUCCAUGCUAUAAGGCCGG